AUGACCUGCCUCUGAUGGGAUAACGCUGCGAAAGCAGCGCUAAUACCGCAUACGCUGCCCGCUUCGUUGCGUGCAGCAAAGCGUAAGCGCUCGGAGAGGGGUCCGCGCCCGAUUAGCUAGUCGGUGGGGUAACGGCCUACCGAGGCGACGAUCGGUAGCUGGUCUGAGAGGAUGAUCAGCCACACUGGGACUGAGACACGGCCCAG
rnacentral:rRNA from 1 species